rnacentral:rRNA from 1 species
AAACCAGCACCUCAAGUGGUCAGGAGGAUUAUUGGGCCUAAAGCAUCCGUAGCCUGUUCUAUAAGUUUCCGGUUAAAUCCAUUAGCUCAACUAAUGGGCUGCCGAAAAUACUGUAGAACUAGGGAGUGGGAGAGGUAGACGGUAUUCGGUAGGAAGGGGUAAAAUCCUUUGAUCUAUUGAGGACCACCUGUGGCGAAGGCGGUCUACCAGAACACGUUCGACGGUGAGGGAUGAAAGCUGGGGGAGCAAACCGGAUUAGAUACCCGAGUAGUCC